CAGUAGCCGCGGUAAUACGGAGGGGGCUAGCGUUGUUCGGAAUUACUGGGCGUAAAGCGCACGUAGGCGGCUUUGUAAGUCAGAGGUGAAAGCCUGGAGCUCAACUCCAGAAUUGCCUUUGAGACUGCAUCGCUUGAACGUCGGAGAGGUGAGUGGAAUUCCGAGUGUAGAGGUGAAAUUCGUAGAUAUUCGGAAGAACACCAGUGGCGAAGGCGGCUCACUGGACGACUGUUGACGCUGAGGUGCGAAAGCGUGGGGAGCAAACAGGAUUAGAUACCCGUGUAGUCCCUGUCUCUUAUAC
rnacentral:rRNA from 1 species